GGAUUCCCCUAGUAACGGCGAGUGAAGCGGGAUGAGCUCAAAUUUAAAAUCUGGCUGGUUUACUAGUCCGAAUUGUAGUUUAUAGAAGCGUUUUCGGUGGCAGCCUGGGUAUAAAUCCUUUGGAAUAGGGUAUCAUAGAGGGUGAGAAUCCCGUCUUUGACUCAGUGCAUGCUACUAUGUGAUACGUUUUCAAAGAGUCGAGUUGUUUGGGAAUGCAGCUCAAAAUGGGUGGUAAAUUUCAUCUAAGGCUAAAUAUUGGCGAGAGACCGAUAGCGAACAAGUACCGUGAGGGAAAGAUGAAAAGAACUUUGAAAAGAGAGUUAAACAGUGCGUGAAAUUGUUGAAAGGGAAACGUUUGACACCAGUUAUGCGGGUGGAAAAUCAGUCUUUUGCAGUGGGGAGUUGUGGGCGUUCAGACCGCAAGGCUGGCGUUUGCUUCAUCUUUGUUGUAAGUGAUGCACUUUUUCAUUUGCAGGUCAACAUCAGUUUGCUUUGCUGGACAAAACCCCAAGGGAAGGUGGCAGCUUAGGCUGUGUUAUAGCCCUGGGGCGAUACAGUGGAGUGGACUGAGGUUUCGCAGUGUGUGCUCUCGGGCAAGGCUGACUGGGUGCUAUGGGAUCGUUCGGCGUACAAUGCAUGCAUUUUGCGUCGUGUCUUUUUCAUACUCGCUCAACUCGGCUCUUCCACACUUA
rnacentral:rRNA from 1 species